UAAGUAAACGUUUUUAUCAAAAUUACGGCAUUUCAAAACACGUUUAACCGAAAUGCGCUCAGUAUUUUACUUCGUCAGCAGUGAUUUAUCGUACAAAGCUUACUGUCCGGUUAAACUCCGCGAUUAUUCACAUCACUAAAAUGACAAUAUCCUUUGUACAAUAUUUGUAUUGUUUUCACCCGUUGAAUAUCCGAGUUUACUAAAAUGUGAUAUUUUCGUCAUGAAACUAAUCGGAAUAAUCGAACCAAAAAGCUGUUGUCCGCGUAGAAAAACAAACGUCAGAAAAAUAACUUUCGGUUCGAUAAUGAUGUGUGUUUGCACCACUAUUUUUUAAAUAUCUUUACUAAG